GGCACAUUAUGGGUGUUCGGUAAAUAUCUGUUGAAUCAGUCAGGGCAUGAAGAAUUCCCACAAACUCACCCAGCAAGAUUCAGAUUGGGCCCCCAGUGCUGGAUCCCAGGGGACUAAAUUGAUGGUUCCUUCAGAAGCCACAUUAAACCUUUCAUGUGCUGAUCAUAAAACUCCAGAGAACCCAUCAACCAGCCGGCAACAAAAUGAUGAGAGAUCUUUAUUUAGAGACUUGGCCACCUCCUCUUUUGUGAAAGAGAAGAAAGGCAUUGCCAAGCUUGCUAGCUCAGAGCAGUCCACAUUUUACUUCUGUGGAGCCGAAAACACAGGACAAGUUCUUCAUAAAAUAUUUGAGGCAGUGGUUCUCAAACUUGAGCUUGAAGACCGAGGGCUUUUGUUAAAGGGAUUGACUCCCUGGUUUCAACCCUACGGACUGAUCCAGUACAUUUGA